CUCCACCCCUAUGCUCCCCCUGAUUUCCGUAUAUAAACAGGGCAUGCACAAGAGGGAAAAGUGAUCAGAGGUGCUGAAAGAAUCAAUCAAACCGGAAGAGACGGCACAUACAAGAACCAACCGAAGAGGCUGAGGUAAAAUGAUACUAAAAUUGGUUCAAGCGUUCUUAAAUGUGCAAUUUUUGCAACAAAAAUAGCUUGUCUUACAGGAACAUUUGUACUCACAUAAAAGGAACAUCAAGAUUGCAUUGUUAAGGUAUUAGGAAACAAACACAAUUUUUAGGGUGGA